rnacentral:lncRNA from 1 species
UUCAGCGCUGUUUUAUAGAAAAAUAGAGCAAUAAAUCAAAUAAAUUUAAGCAACUUAGCAGAAUUGCAGAUUAAUUUUUCUUGUUUUAUCUGUGCAUGUGCUCUUCGAAAGAAGAAGAAAAACAGAGCAUGGAGAGUGCUGGUCGCGAAAAACAAAGCACUGGACAGUGCUGGUCGUGAAAAACAGAGCACUAGAAAGUGCUGGUCGCGAAAAACAGAGUACACAGACAGUGCUGGUCGCGAAAAACAGAGCAGAAGAAAAGAAGAAAGAAGAAAAGAAGAAAAGAAAAGAAGAAAGAAGAAAGAAGAAAAAAACAGAGAGUCUGGUCGAGUCGAGAAAGGGGAAAGAGGAAAGGGGAAAGAAGAAAGAGAGGAACAUACCUGGCUGGUGCUGACGAUGGAAGAAGAAGAAGAUAGAGUGAAAAACUCUAAUUUUGUCGACUGGAGCAACUGAAGAGGCUGCUGUGUUUUAAUUUUUCUGUAUUAUCAAAAUAGCGACGCCUCGCAUCGCCACGCGCCUCGCCACAGAAGCUGUGACGCUCGCUAUUCUGGUUCGCAUCGCAACAGUGCCCUUUGUGGCGUUAAAGCCUCGCCUCGCUUAUCGCCACGCACCUCGCCUCGCCACUCGCCACAGAAGCUGUGGCGCGAGCUAUUCUUCUUCGCAUCGCAACAAUGCCCUUUGUGGCGUUAAAGCCUCGCCUCGCCUCGCUACACGCCUUUAGCGCUGUAGCGAGCGCUAUUUACAACCCUGA